UACGUAGGGUGCAAGCGUUGUCCGGAAUUAUUGGGCGUAAAGAGCUCAUAGGCGGUUUGUCGCGUCUGCUGUGAAAACUCGGGGCUUAACUCCGGGCCUGCAGUGGGUACGGGCAGACUAGAGUGCGGUAGGGGAGACUGGAAUUCCUGGUGUAGCGGUGAAAUGCGCAGAUAUCAGGAGGAACACCGGUGGCGAAGGCGGGUCUCUGGGCCGUAACUGACGCUGAGGAGCGAAAGCGUGGGUAGCAAACAGG
rnacentral:rRNA from 1 species